rnacentral:lncRNA from 12 species
UGAUAACGUGUCUACCUGUUUCCAAGCUGCAUUUUUCACUUGAGAGUCACCUGCAGGUGAACCAAAUAGGGCAGAAGAAAAGCAUGCGCGAAGCAGGGCGGGUGGGAUGAGUUCCAAGCAGCAGGGCUCUCCUCCCUUGUAGUCUUCCUGGCCCAAGACCUGAGGCCAAAGACCGGAUCGGCUGAGCUUAUGUCUGGCACUCGUUAAAAAUCGGGAAAUCAAGAAACUCC